GGGUGAUAUUGGUGGUAGGCUCAUGGUUGGACGUGGUGCUUAGGAACAUGGUUCAGUGGGUGACAUUGGUAGUAAGGUGACAGUUGGACCAGACGAUCUUGGAGGUCUUGUCCAGACCUACUGAUUCU